rnacentral:lncRNA from 1 species
GGAUUAUGCAGAACAAGUAGAAUUGGGCUGAAAGGUCUAUUGCUUUACAAAGUAUUCAGGUUGUGUAUCAUGUUUUUAAAAAGUAACUAAUUACUUUUGAAAAUAAGUAAUCAGUAAAGUAACUGAUUACUUUCUUGGAGAAGCAAUCAGUAAUUAGUAACUAAUUACUAUUUUCAAAUAACUUGACCAACACUGGUUAUGUGAUAGCUUCAACCAGCACACACUGUGUCGCCAGGUUAGAAAUAGGUUCAGAGCAACACCCCCCAGUAACAAGCAAGUCAUUCCUCCAAUCAGGAACUCACAAAGACCCUCACCAAACUAUAAAAGAGGAUCUGUUGAUUUGCUGACUUGUUAAAGACUUGGUGACAGCCCUGGCAGAGCUACCAUGGUUUUGUGGUGUGGUGUUACUCUCUCUCUUUAUCCCCACCUCCUCUCACCUGCUGUUGUGUUUGUUAUUGAGGCAACAUUUUCCUAUUCUGACCCGUUCUUUUCCUGUCCCGAUGCUAAAGCUAGGGUCUGUUUUUUCACAGGUCUUUUAUACUUUGUAGCAUAACUCUGUUGAACAAAUAUAGGUAUGAUAUAGGUGUCACUUUCAGAUAGGUUUUUUUUUUUUUGUGUGGUGACAUUACUGCUGCACUUGUUGCCGAUGUCUUUAAUAACUGAUAUCUGUUAGCUGCCAAAAUACACAAAUGGAAUUUCCCAGAGGGCAAUAAACUUUAAAAGGGGGCAGGACUGUGUGCAAAAUUUAGCUCAGUGCCUGCUGGUUAUCUCCUUUCUGCAUAGAAAGGGGAAAAUUCUUACUGACCGACUUGCUUGCAGGAGGCGGAGUUUACAGUUGAGUGCUUGACGGAUGUGGGGGGUGUUGAAAGAGGAAGCGCAGCUUGUCAUCACUGUGCUGCUGCUACCAGAAACUGCAGAAGAAUGAAGACAGACGGACCACAGAAGGUAUGAUAGGAAAUUCUGGCCCACUGCCCGCAGUCCUGACUGUUGCGUCAGUGGCUUUACUGAGUCUGCUGACGCUGCUGUGUCUGCGAUGCAAAAGGAAACCCAAGAUCAUUCAAGAGGACCGUCAAAUAUACAAUCCACCAACGUUCCAACGUGGGGGGAGUCAGUUUGCAGUGAUGCGAUCAAAAACAGUAACCAAAACCAACCAGAUAUCAUCAUCAUUUGCAGCAGCAGCAGCUGAAACUUCAGAGCCAUCUGAACCUCAAGAAGAAGAUGAACAGUCAGACUACAUAAAUAUUGACGUCUGCGGAAGUGUGGAACGUGACUAUGUCAAUCCAAUCAGUGAGUCACUGUAUGUAAAUGAAAAAACCCUUAACAGCGGACAGGAUGACGUUCCAGGAGUGUAUGGAAAUGUUUUCCCAUCGAUAGAAUUAACAAACGACGACGACGACUAUGAAAAUUCAGACUUCCUGAACGCAGAUGAGAUGGACGACCAGUCUUCAAUAAAGUUUUCGCUUAUGUUCUGAUGGAUUCGGAGAGUCCAGUUUGCCAAAAAAGAAUAGUUUUUUUCUCUGACCUAAUUUUUAUUGGUUUUAUUCAUAUAAGAUUGCAUAAAAAAUCAUGUUGAUUCCACAUGAUCUGUGUGUUUUCCUGUAACACAAAUCUGUUGUCUCAUGUUGACGUUAUUUCAUCGUGUUUAGGGUAAUGGAUUUUCACCUGUAACUGCAACUUUAUUUCUUAAUGUCAACAUUAUUCAAAGGUAUUAUGUUCUGUGUACACAGGAAUACUUUUACUUUAGGUACUUUAAGUUUAAUUUCUUGCUACUGCUGAAGCAAAGUGCUACUACUUCUGCUAUGGCUAAAAUGCAAGUACUACUACUUCUAUAUUAUAAUUACAAAUACAUGUAUUAUAUGCUGACUUAAUUCCAUGAUAAAUAUAUUUUGUACACUGCUCUUCUUUAACUAAUACUACCUACAAUAUCAGUUCUAAACAUUUUAAAAGUAGUAAUCUAAUAAACCAAACAUACUUUGUUAAUCAAGUGUCUGUAUUUUCUCAGCAUUACAGUUACAAAACUGGAACUGGAACUUGAAUCAACACAAUUAGCAAUAAUACUCUAGGUAGUCUUUUUCCAUGGAAAAUUUUGCAUCAUCACUGAGAGUUACAAACUGUCUAAAAUCUUUCCUCUUUAUAAAAUGAUCAGUGUGGCUGCUCUACCAGGUGUAACAAUUAAGUUUAACAUCCAGGCAUCUGUGAAAACAGAAUUUAUGAUGUUUAAUGGAGUUUGAAGUUAGCAGAGAUUUAGCUAGUUUCCAUCUAAAGAUGAUAUACCAUGUUCUCACUGAGGGAUUUCUAAACAAUUAAAACGUACAGCUCUACUAUCACUUCCGACGUAAAUGAAGACAGAAAACUAACUGUUGUUUGUAGGGUUACUGAAGUUGUGCUAGCUGGUAUAUAAUGAUUAGGGCUGGGUAUUGUCACUGAUUUCUAGAAUCGAUUCGAUUACGAUUACAAUUCACGAGUUGACUCGAUCCACAAUUCGAUCCGCAAUUUGAUCUGAUUCGAUUCAAUUUUGCUUCAGACAGUCAGAAAUAUGAUACAUUUGAUCAUUUACCAGUACUGACACUUGUGAGACUUCAUAGGAGGUGUAAGCACCGCAACAGAUGCCUUUGUGUCAAAGUAACUGAGGAUAAAACACAGAAAAACAUGAAGAAGAUUUUUCUGGCCUGGCUUUUUACAGUAGAUAACCUUAAAAAUAUUCUGCAGUAGAACAAAAACUGAAGAAAACCAUGAAUCAGCAUAUGAACAUUACCUGAUGCUGCUGAAGUGAAGCAGAGCAAAGUUACAGAGGUUUUACUAGAGACACAGCUAAGCCUUUUGCAAUUUGGCAUAAUUUUAAAAAGUUUGACAUUUCUUCGGUAUUAAACAGCAGAAAUUAGGCUUUUUCAUGACGAUGUUUAUGUGAAGUGUAGUUUUGAUCUUCUUUUGCUUCUGGUUCAGUGAAUUUUGGUCAGAAUGAUGAAACCUGCAGCUUCAGAAUCUGUGAGCUGUCGACUUUCAGCCCAGAUGGCGUGUCUGUUGGGUGAGAAUGCCGACAUCUCGUAGAUUCUGAUGCGUCGGGUCUGCGCUUUGUGUUUACGUCUUUGUGUGGAAUCUGUUUACCUACUCUCAUUUGCUGUUUUAGCUGUUUAGUGGUUGUUGAAAUAGUUUUGUGAGCUUUAACCUGAAAUUCUGGCGUUUCUGGCAAAAUACAUUUAAAUUUCAAUUCAGGGUUUAAUGAAUCUAUAUCGCUUUAUUCAAGCUAAAAUUGAUUUUAAUUGGAAAACCGAUUAUUGAACCCCCCCCCCCCCCAAUAAUCAUUUGCUAUGUGGU